CUGAUCUUGUGGAUGGGUGAAGGGGUGCUCCAGAGUGGCACUUAAAUCAUGUGCCUCUGCAUCACUAGUACAUAAUUGAGUUUAUGUAACACGUAAUUAGUAACACUUCUUAAAAUGCAAAAUAUUAGUUUUAUAAGUAACACUUUGAUAACACUUUAUUAGAAUGUAAACACUUAAUGUAACACUUUUAACAUAAGUAACAUUUCAAAGUAACACUUUUUAAAUUAGUAACAUUUUAUGGUAACACAAAGAGGUAUUACAUUAUUUUUAGGUAAAUUAAACAUUUAUAAUAAAGUAAAAGUUAGUGUUAAUACCCAAAUUCUAUUAAAAAAAGUUGGGUAUUACCGCCAAAAAAAUAAAAAUAAAAAAAACAUUGGCCUCAUUCAACUAAAACCGCUAGAAUCAAAGAAAAUCAAAACCCUUUUCGAUAAAAAAAAAAAAAAAAAAAAAAAAAAAACACUCAUUUCAACUUUAAUUUACUCCUAAUAAUCUUAGGUUUUAUUAGUCCUGCUCUGCUCUCACCCUCCCACCACUGCCCUCCUUCGAAAACCGACAUCGGCUUGACUGCUUCUACGGCGGCGUUACUAUCGAAGAUAUUAAAGAAACCCUAAAUGUUGAAUCUUCAAGGCUGUAGUCUGUACCCACUUCUCUCGCUCACCUCCAUUGAAGCGUACUUAAAAAUUCUUCAUUAAACCAACAUAUGAGCUUUCUCUUCUCCAAUAAAGGAGCUUCUUAGUCAGGUGAUCGGGUGCUCUUUCUCUACUCAGGUGCUCAGGUACUUGAAUAUGCAGUCAAGUGGGAUCAUAAUUGUCUGCCUAACUAAGGUAUUAAGCUCUUAAACCCGUAUCCUAAUCAAUGAAAGUGACCAGUAGAGGUCCUAUGACAUGUAUAAUUCUACACAACAAAGGUUUAUGCAUUUGGCAGAUUGUGAUGAUGAUGAUAUAGCCUAGAAGAAUUUGGCACAGACAGUAGCUAAAAAACUGGUUCUGCUAUAGAUUGUGAUGAUGAUAUAGCCUGAUUUUGCUCUGAUUCAAAGCCUGUUUUUCCGAGUCUAUAUCAUUUUAGCAUGUUACUUGGGCAUCUGUUUAAUAAGUAUCCGCUAAAACAUGCUACUUGGGCAUCCGUUUAAUAAGUAUUCAUUUCAUGAAAAGCACUAAACAAAAUUGAAUUAGCUAGAAACUACGAUAUUGUUUGAGCCAUAGAGGCCAUGGUUUUUAAGUUUCUAUGCUUUUAUAUUUAUUUUUCUUGAGUAGUUGUACAAGGACUAGUAGUUCAGCAUGAUAGUCUUACUUUACCGUAAAGUGGUACUUGAGUUAUGCAAUGACUAAAGUUUGAAUGAGUAAUUAGAAUAUGCAUUGACUUAGUGCUAGCAAGGCACGUGAUUUAUGAUUUAUCUAAAUUCCACUAUGUUAGUGUAUUUUUCCUGUUCAUCUUUCUUCACAAAGAGGUAGAAAUUCGAGAAAAAGCAUGAGAUAAGUGUAUUAAUCUCUAUGAGUUUGUUAUGAGAAAAGUAAAGGCAAGUUAUGUACUACUCGUAGAAGUCUAAAGUUUAAUUUUUCUUGCUAGCUGAAUGCAUGUAAUGGUAAUUCUAAAGCAAACAGACAGUGACCAGCUAAUGAUUUCCGGCUAUAUUUAUGUAAAAGGAGAAUAGGUGGUCUAAAGGGAACCACCUUCUUCAUUUGUUAGAUCUCAAAUCACCCCUGCUAAUCAACUGCACUAGCAAAUUUCAGUCUCUAUGAGCCAGUUUGAUACAACAAUUUUAUUAAUUGAAGACAAAGAUACUCGUAAAUCUUCAAGCAAUUAGUAGAAGAUAGAGAGAAAAUUGAUUCCAUUAGUUUAAUUUCCUUGGAGCUGUUGUGCAGUUUUUUUUCUUUUUAAUUGUAUAUAGUAAUAGUGUAAUGGAGUACUACUAAGUUUUGAUUUAUUUGGUUUUUUCUUGUAUUUGACUUCACCUUUAUCAAUUAAAGAUUGAAUUUAGUUUUA